CUGGACGCUUGCUAUGUGACGCCACUUGGAAGGGACCCACCUACAGUGGCGGAAGUGGAGUAAGACAUCAUGUUGCCUCAAGUUUAAUUGGAAAUCGCGUGCCUUGUGAAGAAUGGACACUCAGUAGAUGCUUAUUGAUGAACCUGUUGGUUGAGGAUAACUCGCUAACUUUUCUGAGCUUUGUUGGAAAAACUAGACAGGGGUCUCACUAUGUGAUGCAGGAUGAUCUCAAACUCCCUGGCCUCAAGCGAUCCUCCUGCCUUGGUCUCCUAAAGUGCUGGGAUUACAGCAGGUCACUGUAUCUCUAUGCAUUACAGAAAAUGGCUAGUUAAAAACUUGUCAAGAUUAUGAAUGAGUGCAUCCAAAAGUAAUCACUGGAAUUGCUGUUCAUUGUGGGCUUCCCAGCAUUCUCCUCUGGGCAUUUAUAUCAAAUAACUUAUGAGUGAUGCAGAAUUAGUAUUCACCGGUCAGACAUUGAUUAUUUAGAAUUCCCUCUGAUUUGAAUUACAUCUACUGUUUUUUUCUCCCAUCCAUUUAUGGGUCAAAUGUACAAUAAGCCAAAACAUGUUGAUUCUGGUGAAAUUUAGCAGAGAAAAACAGCUUCACCUAGUGGCCACAGAAACUCGAAAAGCUUUACUGAAAAGAAAUAAAUUGGAUAUCUUCUCAUCCUGGAUAUGAACUGGAUUCCAACUUAACCUUCCAACUGUUUUGCUGUUUCUCUGAAGUCUGAACCUUGUGUAUGGCAAUACUUAUCUCAAGCAAAAAUAUAGUUUCACAUUGGUAGUACUGUAUUCAGGAAAACUGGAAAUUGUACUAUGAAGGAGCACUUCUACCACAUCCGUAUCUAAGUCUACAUUCACAGCUGCUGGAAACAGAUAUUGUAUUCAUACUAUGGUGGGAAACACAUAAUGUAUGUAUGUAUACACAUGUGUGCACACAUAUAUAUGCUAGCGUAUAAUCUGGAAAAAUUUUGCUAAGAUAUAUAGGAAGAGAACCUUUUUAUUCAGAAUAUUGAACAAGUAGGACUCAUAGUGUAAAAUUAAGAAAAAUUAUUUUUCUUCUACUGCCCUUUCUAUGGAUUUGGUUCUUCCUCUUCCCCUGAAUGUAAACUUAAGCAGUCUUCUAUGCAUUUUGUGUUCAUUCCUAAAUAUUAGAAAUAGUUAUUUGAUUAUUUAGCCUUUAGUCUCAGUUUAAUAACCAAAAUAUGAGGUUAAAAUUUAAUUCUGGCUACAGAAUUAAGGCUUCUCUCUCCUGCCGCACUUCCAGGCCAGUUGCAGGCAUGAUACCAGCAGUCUGGGAGGUAGAGACAAGAGGACACAUCUCUGCUGCUCCCUUCUUUCCCCAUGGUUAUGCGCCAACUUUGGUUUCACCAGGCCUACAGUGCUUCCCAGGUUUGGAGUGUGGGGAAGGAGAAGAUUUAAUGGAAGCAGCUUAAGGGAAAUGCUCAAACUAAACUGAUACUUUCUUCAUGAUCUAGCAUUGAAACUUUCUGGACUUGACAGAUAUUUAAAAUUAACUCUUUUUCUCAUUAACAUUUUCAUGGGUUCUUCCAAGAUCCACAUUACCCAACCUGUGGGUUCCCAUGACAAGGAUUAAGGCAUCUCUGUUUCUUCUGGACCUUUAUUUACCUGGAUUCUUUCUCUAGGGACUGUUUACCCUUAUGGGCCAUCCUUUUGAGCAUAACCUAACAAGAUUCAUGCUGGCUUUAAGUGAGUGGUCCACAUUUGGUUCAUGGGAAAACCACAUAGUUUGUCCCCAGCAAACCUGGAAGUAAUAUUUAUUUUACUGCUGGAAUUAAGGAAAACCAAAAAUCCUAUUACAAAAUGGCUCCUCUAAACAUUCACAUUACCCCUUUUUGUCUCUACCCCCUGAGGAACUAACCAACUCUAGCUCUUUGGAUUUUCCAAAUGAGAGGUCAACACAUCGAUGUCUCCAAGACCUUAAGUUCUUCUAGUGGUCUCUUUAAGCUUCCUCCCUUGAAUUAUGGUGAAAAGGGACUGCCUGCUACCCCCUCCUCUUGAGGAGAGGGGUGGUAUCACAGCCUAACAAUAAUUUCCAAAAAUUUUCUCCUCCAGCUCUAAUGCUUAACCAGUUUAGACUUUCAAAGUGGAUAAUGUAAUUUAAAGCCUUACAGCUAGUUAUGCUCUACUUCUUCUAUAAGUCCUGCAACCAGGUGGUCUCAAUCCUCACUUGCGAAUACUGCAUUUACUCACCUUGUGCCCUAGCCAAAACUUCCACAACAAAUUCUGUGGUGCAUUUAAGUGAAAGAUGUUAUUUGAUUGAUAGAGAGAUAGAUAGAUAGAUACAGAUAUAGAUAUAGAUAUGUAUUAGAACCAUGUCAAAUGGUUAACUUUUUUAAAAAGGUAAAUUUUUUAUAUUGAGAUAAUUAUAGAUUCUCAUACACUCGUAAGAAAUAACACAGAAAGAUCCCAUGUAGCCUUUAUCCAGUUUCCCCAGUGAUAAUAUCUUGCAAAACUAUAGUCCAAUAUCACAACCAAGAUACUGGCAUUGAUAGAUCACUUCCAUCACCACAAACAUCCCUCAUGUUGCCCUUUUAUAGCCACACUCAUUUCCCUCCUGCUGCCACCCUCUCCUUUACCCAUAACCACUUAUCUGUUCUCUAUUUUUGUAAUUUUAUCAUUUCAAGAAUACUGUAGAAAUGGAAUAAUACAGUAUGUAUUUUAGGGCUUAUCUUUUCUACACUCGGCAUGAUUCUCUGGAGAUUCAUCCAGGUUGUUGCAUGUAUCAAUAGUUCAUUCCUUUUUUACUGCUGAACAGUAUUCCAUUGUAUGUAUGUACCAUAGUUUAACUAUUUGCUCAAUGAAAGACAUAUAUUAAUAGUUUCCAGUUUUUGCUGUUAUGAAUAAAGCU
ensembl:lncRNA METTL14-DT METTL14 divergent transcript